rnacentral:tRNA from 1 species
GAGGGUAUAGCUCAGUGACAGAGCACAUGCUUAGCAUGCACAAGGUCUGGGGUUCAAUCCCUAGUAUCUCCU